UGUCUGAGGACUAGUGGUUAGGCCACAGCACUCUCACCGCCGCGGCCUGGGUUCGAUUCACGGCCAGGGAA